ACUUUUAGUUUAGUACUAAACAAGUCACACUUCCAACGAUCCAUAGUAAUACACUAGCCAUAAAACACCACCCAGGACUGCCAUUUUCAUCUCUUCUUUCUCCUUAUCCCCAGCAAUAGAAGUAAUACCAAUGACUUGCUUCUUUCUUUGAAUCUUGGGAGGCCCCAGAGAGUGAUGGUGAUAGUGGUGGUGGGAGGUGUGUAUUGGGGUCAUUUUCCAAACAUAAAACUAGUAAACUCCACGAUACACAUACACACAUUCCCUUAUUUGAAGAAUAUUUACCGAGUGCCAAUGUGUGUCAGGUACCAGAUGCUGGGGACAAACCAGUGAACAAAACACCACAUCCCUGCUCU
rnacentral:lncRNA from 1 species